rnacentral:rRNA from 1 species
CCAACAGGGAUUGCCCUAGUAACGGCGAGUGAAGCGGCAACAGCUCAAAUUUGAAAUCUGGCUCUUUCAGAGUCCGAGUUGUAAUUUGCAGAGGGCGCUUUGGCUUUGGCAGCGGUCCAAGUUCCUUGGAACAGGACGUCACAGAGGGUGAGAAUCCCGUACGUGGUCGCUAGCUAUUGCCGUGUAAAGCCCCUUCGACGAGUCGAGUUGUUUGGGAAUGCAGCUCUAAAUGGGAGGUAAAUUUCUUCUAAAGCUAAAUAUUGGCCAGAGACCGAUAGCGCACAAGUAGAGUGAUCGAAAGAUGAAAAGCACUUUGGAAAGAGAGUCAAACAGCACGUGAAAUUGUUGAAAGGGAAGCGCUUGCAGCCAGACUUGCUUGCAGUUGCUCAUCCGGGCUUUUGCCCGGUGCACUCUUCUGCAGGCAGGCCAGCAUCAGUUUGGGCGGUGGGAUAAAGGUCUCUGACACGUUCCUUCCUUCGGGUUGGCCAUAUAGGGGAGACGUCAUACCACCAGCCUGGACUGAGGUCCGCGCAUCUGCUAGGAUGCUGGCGUAAUGGCUGUAAGCGGCCCGUCUUGAAACACGGACCAAGGAGUCUAACAUCUAUGCGAGUGUUUGGGUGUCAAGCCCGAGCGCGUAAUGAAAGUGAACGGAGGUGGGAACCCGCAAGGGCGCACCAUCGACCGAUCCUGAAGUUUACGGAAGGAUUUGAGUAAGAGCAUGGCUGUUGGGACCCGAAAGAUGGUGAACUAUGCUUGAAUAGGGUGAAGCCAGAGGAAACUCUGGUGGAGGCUCGCAGCGGUUCUGACGUGCAAAUCGAUCGUCAAAUUUGGGCAUAGGGGCGAAAGACUAAUCGAACUAU